AACAGGAUUAGAUACCCUGGUAGUCCACGCCCUAAACGAUGUCUACUAGUUGUCGGGACUUAAUUGUCUUGGUAACGCAGCUAACGCGUGAAGUAGACCGCCUGGGGAGUACGGUCGCAAGAUUAAAACUCAAAGGAAUUGACGGGGACCCGCACAAGCGGUGGAUGAUGUGGAUUAAUUCGAUGCAACGCGAAAAACCUUACCUACCCUUGACAUGGCAGGAAUCCUGAAGAGAUUUAGGAGUGCUCGCAAGAGAACCUGCACACAGGUGCUGCAUGGCUGUCGUCAGCUCGUGUCGUGAGAUGUUGGGUUAAGUCCCGCAACGAGCGCAACCCUUGUCAUUAGUUGCUACGAAAGGGCACUCUAAUGAGACUGCCGGUGACAAACCGGAGGAAGGUGGGGAUGACGUCAAGUCCUCAUGGCCCUUAUGGGUAGGGCUUCACACGUCAUACAAUGGUACAUACAGAGGGCUGCCAACCCGCGAGGGGGAGCUAAUCCCAGAAAGUGUAUCGUAGUCCGGAUUGUAGUCUGCAACUCGACUACAUGAAGUUGGAAUCGCUAGUAAUCGCGGAUCAGCAUGUCGCGGUGAAUACGUUCCCGGGUCUUGUACACACCGCCCGUCACACCAUGGGAGCGGGUUCUGCCAGAAGUAGGUAGCCUAACCGUAAGGAGGGCGCUUACCACGGCAGGGUUCGUGACUGGGGUGAAGUCGUAACAAGGUAACC
rnacentral:rRNA from 1 species